rnacentral:lncRNA from 1 species
CUUACCCUAAGAGGAUCCAUAAGAUGAUCCCUUCCGAAUACCAAAUCUUUUCUUAUAGGUAUAUUGGUUGUAAGCUUCUAUUGCUUCUUUUUGAGUAUCAAAAAUUAUGCCUUCAUGCAAUACUAAACUUUUAGCAUUUUCUGAGUCUGAAAUCUGAUCAAUACAAUCUUUUUUCUUAGAAGCCCUCUCAAUAUAAUCAGUAUUGAAUGAGUUGAGACUAUC